GUAUGUAUGUAUGUAGAAGAUAGACCGAGGAAGAUGUGGGCUGAAGUGGUGAAGACUGACCUCAAGAUGUUGAACCUCUCAGAGGAGAUGACAGGGAACUGAAAUGAAUGGUGACAU